CCCAGGCAAUAACAAUGAGUACAGCCACACAAAGCAAAAGGUUUGAUUCUUCUAUGGAGGAGUAAAUAUAUUUGCAAGAAUGAGAAGAGCCUGUUCAGUGUUCACUAAAUAGGUCAGAAUCAUCAAUAGCGAUAUCAUCCCCUAGGAACUUCUCAUGAGAAAUGCCACAAUGCUCCCUAGCGCGGCACCAGCAGCAACCUGGAGAGGAGUGUGACCUAGUGAAUCUCGAAGAGGUCUGACAUUGGAGGCCGGGUGUUCAGGAGGUAGCUCACAUACAAUUUGAUUUAAUAAUUCAGCUUGGCGACCAGCAUGAAGUCGAACACCAGUAGCAUCAUACAUAACAACACAUGCCAAAACCAGCGCAAUAGCAAAUGUUGGUGCUCCAGUUCCUUCUUGUAGACCAAUAGCUACUGCAAGAGCGGUCACAGUUGCUGUAUGUGAUGAGGGCAUCCCACCUGAUCCAAGGAUCCUUCUAGAAUCCCAUCUCUUCUCUUU
rnacentral:misc_RNA from 1 species